GACGAACGCUGGCGGCGUGCUUAACACAUGCAAGUCGAACGAGAGCGUAGAGAAAGCUUGCUUUUUCUACAAUCUAGUGGCAAACGGGUGAGUAACGCGUAAACAACCUGCCCUACGGAUGGGGACAACAGCUGGAAACGGCUGCUAAUACCGAAUACGUUCCGAAAGUCGCAUGACUAUCGGAAGAAAGGAUGGCCUCUAUUUAUAAGCUAUCGCCGGAGGAGGGGUUUGCGUCUGAUUAGCUAGUUGGAGGGGUAACGGCCCACCAAGGCGACGAUCAGUAGCCGGUCUGAGAGGAUGAACGGCCACAUUGGAACUGAGACACGGUCCAGACUCCUCCGGGAGGCAGCAGUGGGGAAUCUUCCGCAAUGGGCGAAAGCCUGACGGAGCAACGCCGCGUGAGUGAAGACGGCCUUCGGGUUGUAAAGCUCUGUUAUACGGGACGAAUAAUCUUGUGGUUAAUACCCAUGAGAAGUGACGGUACCGUAAGAGAAAGCCACGGCUAACUACGUG
rnacentral:rRNA from 1 species